GAGCCAGCGAGUAUUGGCGCAAGCCUUCCUUGGCCGAAAGGUCCGGGUAAUCUUGUUAAACUCUGUCGUGCUGGGGAUAGUCCUUUGCAAUUAUCGGACUUGAACGAGGAAUUCCUAGUAAGCGCGAUUCAUCAGAUCGCGUUGAUUACGUCCCUGCCCUUUGUACACACCGCCCGUCGCUACUACCGAUUGAAUGGCUUAGUGAGGCCCUCGGAUUGGCGCGUUACUGCCGGCAACGGCUGGUGGCAUGCCGAGAAGUUGGUCAAACUUGGUCAUUUAGAGGAAGUAAAAGUCGUAACAAGGUAUCCGUAGGUGAACCUGCGGAUGGAUCAUUAACGU
rnacentral:rRNA from 1 species